rnacentral:rRNA from 1 species
CUACGUAGGGCGCAAGCGUUGUCCGGAAUUAUUGGGCGUAAAGAGCUCGUAGGCGGUCUGUUGCGUCCGCUGUGAAAACUCGGGGCUUAACCCCGAGCCUGCAGUGGAUACGGGCAGACUAGAGGUAGGUAGGGGAGAAUGGAAUUCCCGGUGUAGCGGUGAAAUGCGCAGAUAUCGGGAGGAACACCGGUGGCGAAGGCGGUUCUCUGGGCCUUACCUGACGCUGAGGAGCGAAAGCGUGGGGAGCGAACAGG